rnacentral:rRNA from 1 species
UACGUAGGGGGCAAGCGUUGUCCGGAUUUAUUGGGCGUAAAGAGCUCGUAGGCGGUUUGGUAAGUCGGAUGUGAAAUCUCCACGCUCAACGUGGAGGGGCCAUACGAGAGCUGCCAUGACUAGAGUCCGGUAGAGGAAUGUGGAAUUCCUGGUGUAGCGGUGAAAUGCGCAGAUAAUCAGGAGGAACACCAGUGGCGAAGGCGGUGCUCUGGGCCGGAACUGACGCUGAGGAGCGAAAGCGUGGGGAGCAAACAGG